rnacentral:misc_RNA from 1 species
UCCGGCUUGUCACCGGCAGUUCCCCUAGAGUGCCCGGCCGAACCGAUGGCAACUAAGGGCGAGGGUUGCGCUCGUUGCGGGACUUAACCCAACAUCUCACGACACGAGCUGACGACAGCCAUGCAGCACCUGUGUGGCGUCCAGCCGAACUGAAGAAACCCGUCUCCGGGUUCCGCGACGCCCAUGUCAAGGGCUGGUAAGGUGGGGAUGACGUUUCUAGGAGGGUG